rnacentral:tRNA from 5 species
GGAGGAAUACCCAAGUUCGGCUGAAGGGAUCGGUCUUGAAAACCGACAGGCGGGUUAAACCGCGCGGGGGUUCGAAUCCCUCUUCCUCCUCCA